ACUUUUCCUCAUGCUAGAUCUGGUGAGAUUUCCUUAUUCCAAAUCCAGGUGAUUCCCUUUGUUUUAUUUCACUUUUGAUUCGUCGUUUGUAGUAUUUUCUUGAUCAACCAUGCCACAGAGGAAGGAGUAGAUCUGACUAUUUUACUAACUGUGAUGAUUGCAAGUGUAGGUCCUUUGUUUAAUUUAAAACAAGGUUUUUCAGUUGCAACUUCCUUUUAGAACAAAUCCACAAAUUGCAGGUAUCAAUUAUGUCCGAUCAAGAGAAGCUUGGGAGCAUAUGAUCUGUUUUAUUUCUUGGUCGUUGGAUAUGAAAAUCUUAAUUCUCAUUCAUGGAUCUUGCUGGCCAUAGGAAGUCCAUGGUUUCCUCUAUAGAAGUAUCAUAUUUUUUCCUCUAAAACGAAGCCAGUGGUGCAAAAGAGGUUUAAUUUUGGCAUUUGCAAAUGCACCGCAAGAAGAUGGAAAGAAGAAAACCUAUGCGAAAUAUGCCAACAAUAUUCUAAUACGCAGGUGUUGUGCCGAAUGUUCAGUUACCCAUGGCUGCAGCUCUUGUUUGUCUUUUGAAGUGCAAGGAUUUUCUUUGCUCUUUUGUUCUCCGGCCCAGCCAAGAACAACACCGACCCUGGACAAGUCUUCGCUGCCGAACCCAUCCCUGCCGCUCCCCUGCCAACAAUGAAGACAAUCAUCAUCCU